rnacentral:rRNA from 1 species
AUAGCUGAUUGCACCAACAAAUGGUUGAUGCAAUAUUGACUCUGUCAAAUAAAAUUCUAGGUAGAAUUAUGAUAAUGACAUUGUCUGCCUAUAUGUCUUGACCAAAUUACGUGCCAGCAGUCGCGGUAAUACGUAGAAGACUAGUGUUAUUCAUCUUUAAUAGGUUUAAAGGGUACCUAGACGGUAAAUCAAGCCUUCACAGGGACUAAUUUACUAGAGUUACUUACGAGGGGGUAUUAAAGUACUGCAGGUGUAGAGAUGAAAUUCUGUCAUACCUCUUUUCAAAAGAAAAAUUAUGGCACAGGUAUAGGUGAAAGCAUCCCCUUAUGUGAUAACUGACGUUGAAGGACGAAGGCUUUGUGUCGCGAACAGGAUUAGAUACCCCAGUAGUCAAAGCAGAAAAUGAUGAAUGUCAUAGAUUAGAUAUAUAGUUUAUUCUAUAAAUGAAAAUGUAAGCAUUCCACCUCAAGAGUAAUUUGGCAACAUUGGAACUGAAAUCAUUAGACCGUUUCUGAAACCAGUAGUGAAGUAUGUUGUUUAAUUUGAUGAUCCGCAAAAAACCUUACCACAAUUUGAAUAUUUGUAUCUAUCUUUUUUUCGUAAAGAAAUAAAAAGCUAAUAUAUUUACAAGCGUUGCACGGCUGUCUUCAGUUAAUGUCGCGAGACUUUGGUUAGUUCCAUUUAAUUAACGUAAACCCUUACUUUAUUUUUAUAUGAAGUAGUUCCCCGCUAUAUUGGAUAUGAUAACAGGGACUAGGACAAGUCAUCAUGGCCU